GAUGAACGCUAGCGGCAGGCUUAAUACAUGCAAGUCGAGGGGCAGCAUGGUGUAGCAAUACACUGAUGGCGACCGGCAAACGGGUGCGGAACACGUACACAACCUCCCUUCAAGCGGGGCAUAGCCCAGAGAAAUUUGGAUUAAUACCCCAUAGAAUAUUGGAAAGGCAUCUUUUUGAUAUUAAAGAUUUAUCACUUGAAGAUGGGUGUGCGGCUGAUUAGGUAGUUGGCGGGGUAACGGCCCACCAAGCCUUCGAUCAGUAACUGUUGUGAGAGCACGACCAGUCAAACGGGCACUGAGACACGGGCCCGACUCCUACGGGAGGCAGCAGUAAGGAAUAUUGGUCAAUGGACGAAAGUCUGAACCAGCCACGCCGCGUGGAGGAUGAAGGUCCUCUGGAUUGUAAACUUCUUUUAUAUGGGACGAAAAAGGGGCUUUCUAGCUCAACUGACGGUACCAUAUGAAUAAGCACCGGCUAACUCCGUGCCAGCCGCCGCCGUAAGAC
rnacentral:rRNA from 1 species